rnacentral:ncRNA from 1 species
GCGGUAUUUUAGUCUAUUCAGAGGAACCUGUUCUGUAAUCGAUAAUCCACGUUGGACCUUACUUAAGUUUGUUUUUCAGUUUAUAUACCGUCGUUAGCAGAAUAUUUUAAAAGAAAAAUAAUUUUCAAAAAUUUAAAGUUGAAUUUAUAUCAGAUCAAGGUGUAGCUAAUAUUUAAGUAGAAAUGGGUUACAAUAAAUUUAUUUUUGGAUUUAAAUAUGAAAAAUUUAUUGAAAUUGGAUUUGAUAGUAAAAUUAUAUAGAUUAAUAAUUUGAUUAUAGCUCUAAAAUAUGUACACAUCGCCCGUCGCUCUUAUUAAUAAGAUAAGAUAAGUCGUAACAUAGUAGAUGUACUGGAAAGUGUAUCUAGAAUUCAA